AAAAACUGAGACUACUUUUGCA
rnacentral:miRNA from 1 species